GCGGCCUCCAAGCCGUCCAGGGUGUGAAACCUUCUGGAAGGGCACGACGAAGCGUGAGGAAUUGGGAAUCGGGGGCAGGAUUUGGCCUCCUUGCUGGCCAUCCCGGCUACGGACCGGGGAAGGGACAGUCAAGGUUGGGUUUUGCAGCCCUGCAAACACGGCUGCUGUUGACACCAUCUCCCCACGCUCAGCCGCAGGCUGAACCAGACCCAUCCGUGACGGGCGAAGGGGGGGUGAUACGACUCUGCUUCGUUAGCUGGCAGGAGCUGAAAACUUAAAGUUUCCAGAAGCAGAAGAGCAGGGGGAGAAAAAAAUAAUCCUUUCCAUGGGCUGGAUGCUACAAGCGUCCGGGAGCUGAUUUACGACGGGAUCAGACCUCCCUGCCCAGGAGACAGCGGCAUCCCUCCGUGCGAUGUGACCGGCACGGCUCACGUGAUGCAUCUCAACGCACAGCCCAUGCUUAUACGCUUCCAAACCACAUUUCCCGCUUUGCUAAAAUUGCAAAGCAACGAGAAACCCUCAGGUUUCUCACUGAUUUAUCAAUGAAAAGACUCCAAGGGGAGUUGUGCAGGGCCAAAUACCUUCUCCCCAUCACGCUCACCCUGUGCCUCCACAUUUGCUGUAGGUUCACGGCACCUCGCACCCUGCCCGAACCAGCGCUUGGCUACGCCGGGAUGUUUUAUGGGUUUGUUUUUCACAUGGUGACUUUUCUGCUAGAAUUUAACUCGGAGACGGCAGGUUUAUUAAUGCAAAACUAAAAAACGUCAGAAGAACAAACCAAAGUGCAAACAGUCUGUCCUUGCCGAAGCAGAGCAGUAGAGACCAGCGUCGCCUGGUCUCACCCAGAAGCAAAGCUCGCGCCGGGGAGGGACACGUAUCGCUACAGCCACCUCGAGGCUCCUGGAAACGAGAGACACGGGAGUAGGAGCUAGAGCCACCGCAACCCGGGACGUCGGGUUCAUCCCUCCUGCUGCCGGAGCAGUUUGGGGACGGAAAUCCUUCCUGGGAAGCCCUCGUCCCCCGCGAAGGUGGCCCGUCUCUCCUCCACGGAGCGGCUGGGCGGCCGCGGCUCCGUCGCCAUUCCCUUCCCCGUCAUCUCCUCUGCGCGAGCCACUUCUCACCCAGUUCAGACACCGUGGCAGCAUGUUCUUCUUUCUAUUGCCCUUAAAGAAGACUAUGAAAUCGUCUUACAAAUUGCAAAGAUGAUUUCUUCGCUGCAGAGCCGCUGCUCCGUCUGAUGCACUCAUGCCCUCGCUUACAUCUGAGCAGCGUUUUACAAGCAAUUUCCUUUAACUCGUGCAGGAAUCUGAUUCAGUUAAAUAAACCCCGAGUGCCUUCCUCAUUAGCGGAGGCUUACGCUGAAUUAAAAUCCCUCUGCUUAAUAAAUUAGGUUAAAGUCAGCCUAGAUUAGAAAAUCCCUGUAAUAAAUCAACCUGAUCACUUCAA